rnacentral:lncRNA from 1 species
AUGGACGGAUCCCCCUUUCCCUGCUCCUCCUCCUCCUCUUGCUUCCCCUUUUCCUGCUCCUCCUCUCCUCUUUCCCCCUUUUCCUGCUCCUCCUCCUUCUGCUCCUCCUCCGCUGGCUCUCCCUUUUUUUCUGCCCCUCCCCUUGCUCCCCCUUUUCCUGCUCCUCCCCUCGCUCCCCUUUUCCCGCUCCUCCUCCCCUCGUUCCCCCUUUUCCUGCUCCUGCUCCUGUCCUGGCUCCCCGUUUCCCCGCGGCCGCUCCCGCUGCGGGAGUGUGGAGGCGACGCCGACCCCGCCGCCCGCUGGCUCCGAGAGGGUGGGGACGGGACCGGGGCCCAGAGCCCGCCCCCUGCUCCCUGCUCCUUCUCCCGCUUCCCCUUCUUUUCCGCUCCCCGUCACUCCUUCCCAGGGACCGCCUCCUGCCCUCCUCCCCUCUCCCUCACCCUUUUCCUCCGGAUCCCUCCUCUUCUCUCCUCCCCUUUUUCCCUCCUCUCCUUUUUCCCUCCUCCCCUUUCCCUUCCCCUCCUCCCCUUUUUCCCUCUUCCCCUUCCCCCCCUUUUCCCCCUCCCCUUUUUCCCUCCCCUUCCCUCUUUUCUCCCCCUCCUCUUCUUUUCCUUCCUUCUUUUCUCCCCCUCUUCUUUUCCUUCUUUUCUCUCCCUCCUCUUUUGUCCUUCCUUCUUUUCUCUCCCUCCUCCUUUUUCCUUCCUUCUUUUCUCUCCCUCCUCCUUUUCUUUUCCUUCCCUCUUCUCUCCCUCUCCUGCUUUACUUUUCCUUCCCUCUUUCUCCCCUCCUUUUCUUUUCCUUCCCUCUUUUCUUCCCCUCCUUUUCUUUUCCUUCCCUCUUUUCUCCCCCUCCUCCUUUUCUUUUCCUUCCUUCUUUUCUCUCCCUCCUCCUCUUCUUUUCCUUCCUUCUUUUCUCUCCCUCCUCCUUUUCUUUUCCUUCCCUCUUCUCUCCCCCUCCUCCUUUUCUUUUCCUUCCUUCCUUCCUUUUCUCCCCCUCCUUUUCUUUUCCUUCCCUCUUUCUCCCCCUCCUCUUCUUUUCCUUCCCUCUUUUCUCCCCUUCCUCCUUUUCUUUUCCUUCUUUCUCUCCCUCCUCCUUUUUUUUCCUUCCUUCUUUUCUCUCCCUCCUCCUUUUCUUUUCCUUCCCUCUUCUCUCCCCCUCCUCCUUGUCUUUUCCUUCCCUCGUUCCCGUCCCCUAGAUGUUGCCCGGAUUUAUCCCCGCCGCCCCAGCAGCGCCGGCCGCUCCUUAAAGCCCCAACCCGCCCCCUCCUCCGAGCAGCGGCCGGGCGGGGAGGGGUGGGACCAACGACCAAUGGCAGCAGGAGCCUGGUGGGAGGGGUGGGACCGACGACCAAUAGCAGCUGGAGCCUGGAGGGAGGGGGGGCGGCACCGGUAUCCAAUGGCAACGGGAAGGGGGUCUUCCCCUAGAAAACGGGCGGAGGCCGGUAGCCACGUGGGGCAUCUUGGGAGAUGUAGUCUCCCAAUGCCAGGCACCUCCCCAGAGGUCAAAGGUCGAGCUCACCAACCCCCCCCCCCCAUCCACCAGCCUGAAGAAAACCUCCCCUGUGGAAGGGGAAUUCAUUCAUUCAUUCGUUCGGUCGUAUUUAUUGAGCGCUUACCGGGUGCAGAGCACCGUACUAAGCGCUUGGAAUGGACAACGCGGCGACAGAGACCAUCCCUGCCCAACGGCGGACUCACGAUCUAA